CCUACGGGUGGCUGCAGUCGAGAAUCAUUCACAAUGGGGGAAACCCUGAUGGUGCGACGCCGCGUGGGGGAAUGAAGGUCUUCGGAUUGUAAACCCCUGUCAUGUGGGAGCAAAUUAAAAAGAUAGUACCACAAGAGGAAGAGACGGCUAACUCUGUGCCAGCAGCCGCGGUAAUACAGAGGUCUCAAGCGUUGUUCGGAAUCACUGGGCGUAAGGCGUGCGUAGGCUGUUUCGUAAGUCGUGUGUGAAAGGCGCGGGCUCAACCCGCGGACGGCACAUGAUACUGCGAGACUAGAGUAAUGGAGGGGGAACCGGAAGUCUCGGUGUAGCAGGGAAAUGCGUAGAUAUCGAGAGGAACACUCGUGGCGAAGGCGGGUUCCUGGACAUUAACUGACGCUGAGGCACGAAGGCCAGGGGAGCGAAAGGGAUUAGAUACCCGAGUAGUC
rnacentral:rRNA from 1 species